rnacentral:rRNA from 1 species
UACGUAGGGGGCAAGCGUUGUCCGGAUUUAUUGGGCGUAAAGAGCGUGUAGGCGGCCAUACAGGUCAGCUGUGAAAACUCGAGGCUCAACCUCGAGACGUCGGUUGAAACCGUAUGGCUAGAGUCCGGAAGAGGAGAGUGGAAUUCCCGGUGUAGCGGUGAAAUGCGCAGAUAUCGGGGAAGAACACCCGUGGCGAAGGCGGCUCUCUAGUACGGUACUGACGCUGAGACGCGAAAGCGUGGGGAGCGAACAGG